UACGGGGGGGGCAAGCGUUGUUCGGAAUCACUGGGCGUAAAGGGCGCGUAGGCGGCUUUAUAAGUCGGGGGUGAAAGCCUGUGGCUCAACCACAGAAUUGCCUUCGAUACUGUAGAGCUUGAGACCGGAAGAGGUAAGUGGAACUGCGAGUGUAGAGGUGAAAUUCGUAGAUAUUCGCAAGAACACCAGUGGCGAAGGCGGCUUACUGGCCCGGUACUGACGCUGAGGUGACGAAAGCGUGGGGAGCAAACAGGG
rnacentral:rRNA from 1 species